rnacentral:misc_RNA from 1 species
AAGUCGUAACAAGGUAUCCGUAGGUGAACCUGCGGAUGGAUCAUUACCAAUUUCUAUAUUAUAAAACUACUCAGGCCCCGCAACGGGUCUGGGUAACUUUUAUAAAUGUAAAUUGUUGAACCUGUUAUAUUAUUCUGUGUGGUUCUGUGUUAUUACUUGGCCACCAGCAUUUAUAAAAUCUAAAACAUUUUAUAUUAACUACUAUACUACUAAUAACUAUAUAUAUAAUACUUUUUGUAGCCACAAGCUAUAAAAAACAACUAAUAUAAAAAACAACUUUCAACAAUGGAUCUCUAGGCUCUC